rnacentral:rRNA from 1 species
AUGAUCUACAUCAACAUUGAGCAUCCACAUCUUCAACAUCUACAUGAAGUCAUCAUCGACAAAACCCAAGCUCUGCCGACUCGAGGUCUCCGGAUCGUCUCCGCCGUUGCCAGCGACCUCCUACCGCUGAUCUCCGCCGCCGUCAACAGAAAUCUUCACCGCCAUUGUCGCCAUAGCGAGUUCACCACCAAGUUAAGGGUCAGCUUUCAGCUUUCAGCCAUGUCAGACAACAGUGACAACCAGAACAGGUCUGAGGAACAGGUUCACAUGAGUGAGGGCACUAGUCCCUCUGAUAGCAGCUAUGAUGAUGGGAGCAGAAGCACUCCUAGCAACCUGCUGAUACGUCUCCGUCGUAUCCAUAAUUUUUGA